UACGUAGGUGGCAAGCGUUAUCCGGAAUUAUUGGGCGUAAAGCGCGCGCAGGCGGUUUCUUAAGUCUGAUGUGAAAGCCCACGGCUCAACCGUGGAGGGUCAUUGGAAACUGGGGAACUUGAGUGCAGAAGAGAAAAGCGGAAUUCCACGUGUAGCGGUGAAAUGCGUAGAGAUGCGGAGGAACACCGAUGGCGAAGGCAGCCCCCUGGGCUAACACUGACGCUGAGGCACGAAAGCGUGGGGAGCAAACAGG
rnacentral:rRNA from 1 species